CCUACGGGGAGCAGCAGUGAGGAAUAUUGGUCAAUGGGCGGGAGCCUGAACCAGCCAAGCCGCGUGAGGGAAGAAGGUACAGCGUAUCGUAAACCUCUUCUGUCAGGGAACAAAGGCGGGGACUAGUCCCCGGAUGAGGGUACCUGAAGAAAAAGCAUCGGCUAACUCCGGGCCAGCAGCCGCGGUAAUACGGAGGAUGCGAGCGUUAUCCGGAUUUAUUGGGGUAAAAGGGUGCGCAGGCGGCCUGUUAAGUCAGCGGUAAAAGCCCGGGGCUCAACCCCGGCGAGCCGUUGAAACUGGCGGGCUGGAGUUGGAGAGAAGUACGCGGAAUGCGCGGUGUAGCGGUGAAAUGCUUAGAUAUCGCGCAGAACCCCGAUUGCGAAGGCAGCGUACCGGCUCCACACUGACGCUGAGGCACGAAAGCGUGGGUAGCGAACAGGAUUAGAUACCCCUGUAGUC
rnacentral:rRNA from 1 species